AUCCUUUUGUGGUUUGUAAGUGUGAUGCCUGGGUUUUCACAAGCAUGUGAGAGAUGUGCCUCCCUCAAACCUUGUGACAACAGCAUAACAUUUACCCAUCUGAUG